GAUGAACGCUGGCGGCGUGCCUAAUACAUGCAAGUCGAACGAGGUGCUUUUGUAGCAAUACGAGAGUAUCCUAGUGGCGAACGGGUGAGUAACACGUUGGUGACCUACCCCAAAGUGUGGGAUAACAGUCCGAAAGGAUUGCUAAUACCGCAUGUGGUCCUUGGCUUUAGAAACCGAUGACUAAAGGAGCAAUUCGCUUUGGGAGGGACCUGCGUCCCAUCAGCUAGUUGGUGAGGUAAUGGCUCACCAAGGCGACGACGGGUAGGGGACCUGAGAGGGUGGCCCCCCACAAUGGAACUGAAACACGGUCCAUACACCUACGGGUGGCAGCAGUAGGGAAUAUUGCACAAUGGGCGAAAGCCUGAUGCAGCAACGCCGCGUGUGCGAUGAAGGCCUUCGGGUCGUAAAGCACUUUUCUGAGAGAUGAGAAAGGACAGUAUCUCAGGAAUAAGUCUCGGCUAACUACGUGCCAGCAGCCGCGGUAAUACGUAGGAGGCGGGCGUUAUCCGGAAUUACUGGGCGUAAAGCGUGCGCAGGCGGUCUCGGUAAGUUGGAUAUGAAAUCUCCUGGCUUAACCUGGGAGAGGCUAUUCAAUACUACCGGACUAGAGAGUGGUAGAGGAAGAUGGAAUUCCAGGU
rnacentral:rRNA from 1 species